rnacentral:rRNA from 1 species
UACGUAGGGAGCGAGCGUUGUCCGGAUUCAUUGGGCGUAAAGAGCUCGUAGGCGGCUUGGCAAGUCGGGUGUGAAAACUCCAGGCUCAACCUGGAGGCGCCACCCGAUACUGCCAUGGCUAGAGUCCGGUAGGGGACCACGGAAUUCCUGGUGUAGCGGUGAAAUGCGCAGAUAUCAGGAGGAACACCGGUGGCGAAGGCGGGUCUCUGGGCAAUAACUGACGCUGAGGAGCGAAAGCGUGGGGAGCGAACAGG